rnacentral:rRNA from 1 species
AUUGAACGCUGGCGGCAUGCUUUACACAUGCAAGUCGAACGGCAGCGCGGGCUUCGGCCUGGCGGCGAGUGGCGAACGGGUGAGUAAUGCAUCUGAACGUGCCCAGUAGUGGGGGAUAGCCCGGCGAAAGCCGGAUUAAUACCGCAUACGACCUGAGGGUGAAAGCGGGGGACCGAAAGGCCUCGUGCUAUUUGAUCUGCCGAUGUCGGAUUAGCUAGUUGGUUGGGUAAAGGCUUACCAAGGCGACGAUCCGUAGCUGGUCUGAGAGGACGACCAGCCACACUGGGACUGAGACACGGCCCAGACUCCUACGGGAGGCAGCAGUGGGGAAUUUUGGACAAUGGGGGCAACCCUGAUCCAGCAAUGCCGCGUGCGGGAAGAAGGCCUUCGGGUUGUAAACCGCUUUUGUUCGGGAAGAAAACCUCUGGGAUAAUACCCCGGGGGGAUGACGGUACCGGAAGAAUAUGCACCGGCUAACUACGUG